GAUGAACGCUGGCGGCGUGCCUAAUACAUGCAAGUCGAGCGAAGCGGGGACGGGUGAGUAACACGUGGAUAACCUCUUAUAAGACUGGGUUAACUUCGGGAAACCGGGGCUAAACCGGAUCCUUAUUGAUGCAUCCGCGCUGCAUUAGCUAGUUGGUAAGUUAACGGCUUACCAAGGCAACGAUGCAUAGCCGACCUGUGAGGGUGAUCGGCCACACUGGAACUGAGACACGGUCCAGACUCCUACGGGAGGCAGCAGUAGGGAAUAUUCCGCAAUGGGCGAAAGCCUGACGGAGCAACGCCGAGUGAGUGAUGAAGGUCUUCGGAUCGUAAAACUCUGUUAUUAGGGAAGCGGUACCUACUCAGAAAGCCACGGCUAACUACGUGCCAGCCACCGCGGUAAUAC
rnacentral:rRNA from 1 species